UUAAAGAUACUUGCGUCCAGUCACAGGCCGAGCGUGAUAAAACCGUCGCAGCCAAUGAGGGCGCCUCGCGGAGAUCCCGGGAGUGGUGAGAUUCCAAUGA
rnacentral:ncRNA from 1 species